rnacentral:rRNA from 1 species
GUGAGUAACAAGUGGGUGACAUGCNUUGGGGACGGGGAUAGCCGUCAGAAAUGACGGAUAAUACCGGAUAACGCCCAACAUCUGUUAGAGGGGUGUGAGGAAAGGGGCUACGGCCCCGCCUUAAGAGUGGCCCGCGGCCCAUUAUGCUCGUUGGUGCGGUAACGGCGCACCAAGGNUCUGAUGGGUAUCCGGCCUAAGAGGGUGAACGGACACAUUGGGACUGAGAUACGGCCCAGACUCCUACGGGAGGCAGCAGCUAAGAAUAUUCCGCAAUGGGCGAAAGCCUGACGGAGCGACGCCGCGUGGGUGAGGAAGGCCGAAAGGUUGUAAAGCCCUUUUGAACCUGAAGAAUAAGUACGGGAGGGAAUGCCCGUAUGGUGACGGUAGGGUUUGAAUAAGCUACG